rnacentral:rRNA from 1 species
UACGUAGGGUGCGAGCGUUAAUCGGAAUUACUGGGCGUAAAGCGUGCGCAGGCGGUCCGCAAAGUCUGAUGUGAAAGCCCCGGGCUCAACCUGGGAACUGCAUUGGAAACUAACGGGCUCGAGUGUGGCAGAGGGGGGGUGGAAUUCCACGUGUAGCAGUGAAAUGCGUAGAGAUGUGGAGGAACACCGAUGGCGAAGGCAGCCCCCUGGGCUAACACUGACGCUCAGGCACGAAAGCGUGGGGAGCAAACAGG